rnacentral:rRNA from 1 species
UGGGGAAUAUUGCACAAUGGGCGCAAGCCUGAUGCAGCCAUGCCGCGUGUAUGAAGAAGGCCUUCGGGUUGUAAAGUACUUUCAGCGGGGAGGAAGGUGAUGAACUUAAUACGUUCAUCAAUUGACGUUACCCGCAGAAGAAGCACCGGCUAACUCCGUG